rnacentral:rRNA from 1 species
GACGAACGCUGGCGGCGUGCCUAACACAUGCAAGUCGUGCGAGAAAGUUCCUUCGGGAGCGAGUAAAGCGGCGCACGGGUGAGUAACACGUAGGUAACCUGCCCCCCAGUCUGGAACAACUAGAGGAAACUCUAGCUAAUGCCGGAUGAGACCACGAUCCCUUCGGGGGGUUGCGGGCCAAAGAUGGCCUCUACUUGUAAGCUAUCGCUGAGGGAUGGGCCUGCGGGCCAUUAGCUUGUUGGUGAGGUAACGGCUCACCAAGGCUGUGAUGGCUAGCUGGUCUGAGAGGAUGACCAGCCACACUGGGACUGAGACACGGCCCAGACUCCUACGGGAGCAGCAGUGGGGAAUAUUGCGCAAUGGGCGAAGCCUGACGCAGCGACGCCGCGUGGGUGAUGAAGG